rnacentral:lncRNA from 1 species
UUGAUAAAGGAAUCGAGCAUUAGAUGGAGUUGCCAUGACUGAUUAUCUUCUUGGCCCGAAGGACUGCUGAUAAAACCUAUAUCUUGAUUUAAUUAAAGGUAUGGAGAAGAUUUAAUUUUGUCUGUAUGAUGUUGCUACUGGUCCUCUGAAAUAUUUCUUAUCACUGGAGUUAGACAGAGAGAAGAUCUUUUUAGAUGAUGCAUGUUACGUAAGGAUUUUGAUUGAACUCAGACCUGAAAGGUGACAGAUGCCCAUUUAUAAGUAUGUGAAGGACCUUUUGGAUAUUGAAUAACUAUCUGAGUGCUUAGGUCCCUAGCAAUGAACUGAUAAUGCUUAAAGAUAAACCUGGUAUUGGCCUUCUCACACUUUGGUCGGUUGAUUGCUGGCUUUGGUAAAAGAAACCCCUCAAUGAUAUAUAUAUUUUUAUUGCUCUAGUUAUCCUCAUGGGCAAUUGGCAUGAGAUUUUGCAUAGGUGCUUUAUGGUGUUUGUGCAUCAAUAAGAACGCAUUAUACUGAAUUGUUCUUUUGAUUUCGGAAUGCUGCUAGGUUUUAUGGCCUCUUCGAUGUCCACAAGUGACAUUAUUGCAUGACUAUGCCAGCAUUAAUUGGAUUUUUAAUCAGAUAAUGAUGAAUUAACAGGGACAUUUCGAUGUCAUAAGUGAGAUAACCUCGUCUUUUCCAUUAUGCCUUCAAUACAUUCUAAGUAGAGUUACCUUUCUGCGUCUAUUUAGGAUAAAAAUGGUGUGAUGGUAAAGUACUUUAAGACUUGGAUUGGGUCUUUCAUUUUCCUGUGCCCAAAUAUUUGGUAGAUAAAUUUUUAAUGGAUACUUACCCUUGGUUCACUCGUUGGAGAGCCCCUUCAUUGUUCAGAUAAGAGGUAAACAAUACUUCCCUUCUAGAUAAUGUUCAAAAAGUUUAAUAUGUCUUUUUAAUUCUUUUCUACCUCAAUCUCUUAACAAGAAUAUUAUCACUAUUAUUAUUGUAUUAUUACUAUGAUAAUAACAGCUAUCACUUUUUAAUUACUUUUUUAUUGGAUCAUGCAACUUAAUCUAAUCUCCGAGUGCGUUUAAAAUAACCUAUUUUCUUCAUUACUUUGUUAGUCGAUCAUGCAACUUGUGUAUAUGAUUAUAGAUUAGAAACUAUCAAAUAGCUCAACAUUCAUAAACUAUAGAGCUUUGCUAACUCAUGAAAUUUAAAGAAAAAAGAUAUUCUUAUUCAUUAACCAAUCAGUGGUAACUAAAAAUUUUCAUUUACUAAGCGAAAAAUUAUUCUCAAGUAAAAGAUAAUAUUUUAUGUCUUAUUAUACUGAAUGUUGUGCUGUAUCAUUUUAUUUGUAUCAUGUUGUGUCGUGUUGUUUUGCAUAGAGUGAUAAGUUUCUUGUUAAUUCUAUGACAUACUUGCAUCAUAUUGAUUAUGUAAUGAUUCUUGUUCUUUUAUUUAUCUUCUUCUAUAAUUGAUGAUUGGUUUUUUCUUAUUUAAUGAUAAGAAGAUUAUGUUACACAAAAGUGACACAAAAAAAAUAUAUAAUGGUUGGAAAUACAUACAAAGAAUUAGAAAAUCAAACAAUUGAUAUAAACGACUCAGUAUGAAAUUUUAUUUGACAAAUUGAGAUAAAAUUCAUGAAUUAUGCAUCCCUGAAUUUACCAAAAAGAAAAUAUUCAAACCACUACUUCAGAUUAACUAUUCUUCUUUAAGCAUCGGUUAUGUGUUGGCAAAUAACACAGUGACUGGAUAUGAGUCUUUCCAUGACGCUGCCUUCUUUUAUUUUCAAUUCCCUAGUCCGUUUAUUCCACAGGUGUACGGUGUAGCUCUCACUGGAUAUGUUAGCUAAUAUGUCCUCUGCUGAUUUGAUUUCGUCUUCUGUUUGAGGCUUCUUGUAAAGCUUGAUGAUCUUAACCCAAUCCACUGGAUAAAACGUGUUUGGUGGGUAGAUCGUGAGAUUGUAUUCAGCUUUAUUCCCUAAUCUUUCAAGAACUCUAGAAACCAAGUAAGGUCCAUUGUGUCCCCACCUGUUUCCGUUGAAAGUUUUGGCAAAUUCCUGCAAGAAAUCUAACAGAAGCGGAUGAUAUAUAUCGAAUAUCAUAACAGCACCAUUCAGUCUUGUCCAUAUCUUGGUUGACAGUUUCAUGCUUUGUGCUCCAAUGGCGUUUCUCAGCGCUGAAAGAUCUUUUAUAAAUAUGAAAUCUGUGUCGAGGUAAACUCCCCCGUAUCUGUACAGAAC